GCUUUUUAAUUGAAAGCUAGUAUGAAUGGUUAAAUGAAAAUUAAUCUUUCUUUAUUUUAAUUAAUGUAAUUUUAUUUUUUAGUUAAAAAGCUAAAAUAAUUUUAUUAGACGAGAAGACCCUAUAGAACUUUAUUUUUAAUAUUUUAUUGUUUUUGUAUUUGAUUUUAUUUAAUUAAAUAUUAUUAAGAAUUUUGUUGGGGUGACAAUUAAAUUUAUUUAACUUUAAUUUAUUAUUAUUCAUUGAUUUAUGUAUAAGUUUUGAUCCAUUAUUAUUGAUUAUAAGAUUAAGUUACCUUAGGGAUAACAGCGUUAUUUUACUAGAAAGUUCUUAUUGAUAGUAAAGUUUGCGACCUCGAUGUGGGGUUAC
rnacentral:rRNA from 1 species